UACGAAGGUGGCAAGCGUUACUCGGAAUUACUAGGCGUAAAGGGCAGGCAGGUGGUUCGGUAAGUCUGUUGUGUAAGCUCCUGGCUUAACUGGGAGAGGUCAACGGAAACUACCGGACUUGAGUAUAGGAGAGGUUACUGGAAUUCCCGGUGUAGCGGUGAAAUUCGUAGAUAUUCGGAAGAACACCAGUGGCGAAGGCGGCUCACUGGACUGGUAUUGACGCUGAGGUGCGAAAGCGUGGGGAGCAAACAGG
rnacentral:rRNA from 1 species